UACGGGGGGAGCAAGCGUUGUUCGGAUUUACUGGGCGUAAAGGGCGCGUAGGCGGCCACCGCAAGUCGACUGUGAAAUCUCCGGGCUUAACCCGGAAAGGUCAGCCGAUACUGCGGGGCUAGAGUGCAGAAGGGGCAACUGGAAUUCUCGGUGUAGCGGUGAAAUGCGUAGAUAUCAGGAGGAACACCGGUGGCGAAGGCGGGUCUCUGGGCCGUAACUGACGCUGAGGAGCGAAAGCGUGGGUAGCGAACAGG
rnacentral:rRNA from 1 species